rnacentral:rRNA from 1 species
UACAGAGGGUGCAAGCGUUAAUCGGAAUUACUGGGCGUAAAGCGCUCGUAGGCGGAUGCCUAAGUCGAUUGUGAAAGCCCUGGGCUUAACCUGGGAACUGCAGUCGAUACUGGGUAUCUAGAGUAUGGCAGAGGAUAGUGGAAUUCCCGGUGUAGCAGUGAAAUGCGUAGAUAUCGGGAGGAACACCAGUGGCGAAGGCGACUUUCUGGGCCAAUACUGACGCUGAGGAGCGAAAGCGUGGGGAGCAAACAGG